UUUCCCUCGUUGCCAUGGGAACCUCGCCCCUUCUAGAGUCCCGGCCGCUUGACUCAGCGAGGCGCGGUGUGGUUUUUUCCUGAGGUACUCUGGGGCUGGGACCUGGUCUGCAGAAGGUCCAGGGGGCGGCGUAGGGGGAUUGAGGAGAGGAGACCAAGCCGGCCUUGCCUCCGGGACCAGCGCUUCCAAAUAAUCUGGGGCGUCCCGGCGUGCACACGCUCCUGAGGCCUUGCCGUUCUGAGGAAAGGGGCUGGCGAGGCGACCAGGGUCCGCGAUGCCGGGGUCCGGCUGUGGCCCGCGAAGGCCCGCUCGCCCGCCCCGGCGUCUUGUCACCGCGAGCCGAGGGCCUUUGCGCGGCCGACAGAUAUGGGAUGUUGGAGGACAUCUGGGGACCACAAAUACUCCUUCUCCUGGAGAUGCAACUCAAGGGUCCUCAAGGCCAUAGGACUCCAUAACUCUAUAGGUGUCAGGGGCAGAAACAGGACUAUGUGAAGAUUCACAGCCUCCCAUUUCCUUGCCUUCAGGGAGCUUCAGCAUCUACCCUUGUUCCAGGCGGCUGCUCAGG